GCAGUGGUGGUUCAGUGGUAGAAUUCUCGCCUCCUAUGCAGGAGUUCAUGUUCAAUUCCAGGCCAGUGCA
rnacentral:tRNA from 1 species